rnacentral:rRNA from 1 species
GGUUGGGCGCGCUUACCAUGCAGGUCGCACCAUGGUACCUCUACGCUGGUGCAUUGGUGGCCAAACGGUGAGUGACAUGUGGGCAAUCUGCCCUUCGCUCUGGGAAAAUCCCCGGAAACGGGGUCUAAAACCGGAUAACACUCUGUCCCGCACGGGACGGGGUUGAAAGCUCCGGCGGUGAAGGAUGAGCCCGCGGCCAAUCAACUUGUUGGUGGGGUAAUGGCCUACCAAGGCGACGACGGGUAGCCGGCCUGAGAGGGCGACCGGCCACACUGGGACUGAGACACGGCCCAGACUCCUACGGGAGGCAGCAGUGGGGAAUAUUGCACAAUGGGCGAAAGCCUGAUGCAGCGACGCCGCGUGAGGGAUGACGGCCUUCGGGUUGUAAACCUCUUUCAGCAGGGAAGAAGCGAAAGUGACGGUACCUGGAGAAGAAGCGCCGGCUAACUACGUGCCAGCAGCCGCGGUAAUACGUAGGGCGCAAGCGUUGUCCGGAAUUAUUGGGCGUAAAGAGCUCGUAGGCGGCUUGUCACGUCGGAUGUGAAAGCCCGGGGCUUAACCCCGGGUCUGCAUUCGAUACGGGCUAGCUAGAGUGUGGUAGGGGAGAUCGGAAUUCCUGGUGUAGCGGUGAAAUGCGCAGAUAUCAGGAGGAACACC